rnacentral:tRNA from 1 species
GGAUAUGUGGCAAAUGGUUUUGCAUUUAGAUUGCAGAUCUAUAAUUUGAGGUUCGAUUCUUCCAUAUCUC